UACGGGGGGGGCAAGCGUUGUUCGGAAUUACUGGGCGUAAAGGGCGCGUAGGCGGCCUUCUAAGUCGGACGUGAAAUCCCUCGGCUUAACCGAGGAACUGCGUCCGAGACUGAAAGGCUUGAAUCCGGGAGAGGGAUGUGGAAUUCCUGGUGUAGCGGUGAAAUGCGCAGAUAUCAGGAGGAACACCAAUGGCGAAGGCAGCUCGCUGGGACGGUACUGACGCUGAGACGCGAAAGCGUGGGGAGCAAACAGG
rnacentral:rRNA from 1 species